GUUUCAUUAAAUUGGGAUCAGAGACUAACACCUGGCUGUUUGAGCUCUUCAUAUCACUAAACCCUCAGGGAUGGAAGGAGGUUACAAAAUCAAGGGGAAAAUAGAUUGCUAACAAUUUGUGGCAAGAAGAAAUAUGUAUGGAAUCCAGGGGAUUCUUAGGGUGCAUCUUAUUGCUUCCAUAUUUCACAACAAAGAUCAAUGGAAGAUAAUAUAAAAUCUAUAAGAGAAGAGCCCAAGAACUCAGACAUUUCAGAAAUGUAGGUUUGAUCAUCCCAGUAGCAAACGUUUUGUAGAUAAUCUGAUAUAUUUCAGCACGAUGGCUGCUUGGAGUCUCCAAUUCCUUGGGAAAGUCACGCUUCUUACUGACGGAAAGAAGCUACUCUCCAGGAAACUAAGGUCACUGCAGCUCAGGAAGCGCCGCGGGCACCAGCAGACAGCCAGGCAGGAGCCCUGCUCUCUCCUCCCGCUCCCGCGCCAUUCACUCUCCAUCACACACAGCCUGUCUUCAUUAUAUGUUCACGCGCAUAGGCCUUGAUUCCCUAAGAUAACUUCCCUAGAGAAUGAUACGUUUCUUUUAAAAAAAAUUAUUUAUUUCAAUGAGGUCACUUUGAAAUUUAUAUAGCAUCAUAUAAAUUUCAGAUGUCCAUCGUUAUAUUUUGACUUCUGUAUAGACUGCAUCACGUUCACCAACAAGAGUCUAGUUUCCAGUUGAUAUGCUUCUUGACAUAAGUGUCUGUAAUUUUUAUUUGUAGGCUCUACAACACUCUGCACAAAGUAAGUGCUCUAAAAUAUUGCAUUGAUAGGUUAAAAAUGAUAUUCCUUCUAUUUCAGAGACUUUUAAUUAGGAAUGAAAUCAUUAUAGAAAACUGACAUUUAAGAAUGACUUACGUGUGAUCUAGGUGUCAAAAGUCCAGUUUAGGAAAAGUUUGCUGGAAGGAGAACCGAAUCAAGCAUCAGGAGAAGUGGAUCACUGGCUACUCAGCGGCAAACUAAGGCAGUGGCUCAGGGCCAGUCCGCCCUCCCCGCGCCUGAGGUCCCACCUUGCAGAGGACAGACUGGCGCAGAGAACGUGCAGGCAGGAAAGAUUCUAAGAUGCUGCAAUCGUGGAAGUAUUCUAGGACUCUGUUCACAUCAUGUUAUUCCUACUGAGAUAAUCUCCUUAAAGGGUGAUGAAUAUUGAAGUAAUACCUUGAAAUUGUUUUAUAAUUCUCAAAAGAAAAAUUUUGUGGAAAGAAUUAUAUAAAUAAUAAAGGAAACCCAGAUGGCACAUAAUAAAUAGAAACAUUCUGGUGUUGUAUCAUCCUGUUGUCAUUGAAGGAUAUUUUGAAAAAGAAAAAUAAAAGCAGUG
rnacentral:lncRNA from 1 species